CUCCUACGGGAGGCAGCAGUGGGGAAUUUUGGACAAUGGGCGCAAGCCUGAUCCAGCCAUGCCGCGUGCAGGAUGAAGGCCUUCGGGUUGUAAACUGCUUUUGUACGGAACGAAAAGACUCUUUCUAAUAAAGAGGGUCCAUGACGGUACCGUAAGAAUAAGCACCGGCUAACUACGUGCCAGCAGCCGCGGUAAUACGUAGGGUGCAAGCGUUAAUCGGAAUUACUGGGCGUAAAGCGUGCGCAGGCGGUUAUGUAAGACAGAUGUGAAAUCCCCGGGCUCAACCUGGGAACUGCAUUUGUGACUGCAUAGCUAGAGUACGGCAGAGGGGAUGGAAUUCCGCGUGUAGCAGUGAAAUGCGUAGAUAUGCGGAGGAACACCGAUGGCGAAGGCAAUCCCCUGGGCCUGUACUGACGCUCAUGCACGAAAGCGUGGGGAGCAAACAGGAUUAGAUACCCUGGUAGUCCACGCCCUAAACGAUGUCAACUGGUUGUUGGGUCUUCACUGACUCAGUAACGAAGCUAACGCGUGAAGUGACCGCC
rnacentral:rRNA from 1 species